rnacentral:rRNA from 1 species
AUUAAACGCUGGCGGCAUGCCUUACACAUGCAAGUCGAACGGCAGCACGGGGGCAACCCUGGUGGCGAGUGGCGGACGGGUGAGUAAAGCAUCGGAACGUAUCCUGGAGUGGGGGAUAACGUAGCGAAAGUUACGCUAAUACCGCAUAUUCUGUGAGCAGGAAAGCAGGGGAUCGCAAGACCUUGCGCUCUGGGAGCGGCCGAUGUCGGAUUAGCUAGUUGGUGGGGUAAAGGCCUACCAAGGCGACGAUCCGUAGCGGGUCUGAGAGGAUGAUCCGCCACACUGGGACUGAGACACGGCCCAGACUCCUACGGGAGGCAGCAGUGGGGAAUUUUGGACAAUGGGCGCAAGCCUGAUCCAGCCAUGCCACGUGAGUGAAGAAGGCCUUC